rnacentral:rRNA from 1 species
UUCCUACGGGAGGCAGCAGUCGAGAAUCAUUCACAAUGGGGGAAACACUGAUGGUGCGACGCCGCGCGGGAGGAUGAAGGUCUUCGGAUUGUAAACCCCUGUCAUGUGGGAGCAAAUUAAAAAGAUAGUACCACAAGAGGAAGAGACGGCUAACUCUGUGCCAGCAGCCGCGGUAAUACAGAGGGCUCAAGCGUUGUUCGGAAUCGCUGGGCGUAAAGCGUGCGUAGGCUGUUUCGUAAGGCGUGUGUGAAAGGAGCGGGCUCAACCCGCGGACGGCACAUGAUACUGCGAGACUAGAGUACUGG